CCUGGCUCAGGGAUGAACGCUGGCGGCAGGCUUAAUACAUGCAAGUCGAACGGUAAGGCCGAUCGUAGCGAAUACGGGAGGCACACGAGUGGCGCACGGGUGCGUAACGCGUAUGCAACCCUGCCCCGACCGGGACAAAACGCUGAGAAAUCGGCGCUAAUAUCCCAUGCUGAUGCGGAGCGGCAUCGCUUUGCAUCGAAAGAUUGAUUGGUCGGGGAUGGGCAUGCGUGCCAUUAGCUAGUUGGUGGGGUAAGGGCCCACCAAGGCGACGAUGGCUAGGGGUUCUGAGAGGAAGGUCCCCCACACUGGAACUGAGACACGGUCCAGACUCCUACGGGAGGCAGCAGUAGGGAAUAUUGGGCAAUGGGAGCAAUCCUGACCCAGCCAUGCCGCGUGCAGGAAGACGGCCCUAUGGGUUGUAAACUGCUUUUGCCGGGGAGUAACCCCGGGGACGUGUCCCCGGCUGAGAGUACCCGGCGAAUAAGCACCGGCUAACUCCGUGCC
rnacentral:rRNA from 1 species